CUGCGAUGAUGGUAUUUCUUAGGACACCUUUGGAUUAAUAGUGAAAACAAAUGUUCUCUGAGCAGC